CUUGUACUCCCUCCGUCCUGUAGUUCUUGUCGAAAUAAUAUUACAUGUAUCUAGAAGCUUUUUAGGAAUAGAUACAUCCAUUUUUGGGCUAAUUUGAGACAAUAAUUAUGGGACGGAGGGAGUACAUU
rfam:Brachypodium distachyon strain Bd21 chromosome 3, whole genome shotgun sequence.